GACGAACGCUGGCGGCGUGCUUAACACAUGCAAGUCGAACGGAAAGGCCCUGCUUUUGUGGGGUGCUCGAGUGGCGAACGGGUGAGUAACACGUGAGUAACCUGCCCUUGACUUUGGGAUAACUUCAGGAAACUGGGGCUAAUACCGGAUAGGAGAUCCUGCUGCAUGGUGGGGGUUGGAAAGUUUCGGCGGUUGGGGAUGGACUCGCGGCUUACCAGCUUGUUGGUGGGGUAGUGGCUUACCAAGGCUGUGACGGGUAGCCGGCCUGAGAGGGUGACCGGCCACAUUGGGACUGAGAGACGGACCAGACUCCUACGGGAGGCAGCAGGCGGGAAUAUUGCACAAUGGGCGGAAGCCUGAUGCAGCAGCGCCGCGUGCGGGAUGACGGCCUUCGGGUUGUAAACCGCUGUCGCCUGUGACGAAGCGUGAGUGACGGUAAUGGGUAAAGAAGCACCGGCUAACUACGUG
rnacentral:rRNA from 1 species